CAAGAUAGCACGGGGUAAACAUCGUCCUCUUAAUUACAGAUCGAAAAAUCACGAAUUUUUAUGACGGCCAUGAAACUCGUGAGGCUAUGCGCAUGCGCGAUGUGGAAGAUGCGAUUAUCCUACCAACGGAUUAACGCCAUUUUGUAUUCGUGCGUGCCAGACUGCAGGAGAAUUUCAUCGUCCUCGUAAUUACAGGGAAUCCCUUCUACCGAGGCAACAACAAUAUACGACCGAACGUUCGCUUUGUAGCAGUCGUAGAAGUACGGUCAUUCUGUUACGAACCUUCUCGCAAGUAAUACACGGUUUUAUCGGAGAGAAACUCGAGACGGUUUUGUUCGCUACCUUCGUAAUUGGAUCUCCACAUACAACAAUCUCUUAAUGGAGAUUUGAAAUCUUAAUUGUCGGAGAUUUCGGUGCAAUUCAAUAGUACUUUAUUUUUUUAUAUCUUCAAUUCAAUUAAUGUAUUUUUCAAUUCUUAAAUAUUGAGCCUUCAGGGAUGAUUUACAGGAAUUAUAUUAUAUUUAUUGUAUGUUUUAAUAAGCUAUUUUUCAGUAAUACAUCUGGCAGCUUGAAGAAAUGUUUUUGCGACCGUGUGCAAAGCGGUCUUAGAGUCAGUGUUUGUUCGUUAUAUAUAUUUUAAAUAUAAUUAAAUUUGUAAAAUGUAAAUUCGCGAAUUAGAGUCAUGCUCGUAUUAGUACGUUCUUCACGAUCCUGGGGCAGGAUGCUCAUCGGGCAAGGGCCAUCAAACGCUUCAAUCAUCGUUGCAGUAGUACGCGAAUUAGAGUCAAUCUUUGCUCGUAAUAUUUUUAUUAAUUAAAAUAAGAUUAGAGCAAUCAAAUAAAUUCGCGAAGUAGAGUCAGUGUUUAUAUCGACGCAUGAUCCAGGGGCAGGAUGCUCAUCGUGCAAGGAGCAAUGAAGACUUUGACAAUCAUUGCAUUCGUGCGCGUGGCAAUGAAUAAAUCGAAUGUUGUAUCGAUCGAAUAAAAGAAGAAUCGCGUAAGUCGAGUCAGUGUUUGUUCGUUGAUAAAAAUUUUACCGCGUGUCGCGAUUUAUAAAGUAAUUUUUAGAAAAUAUGUAUAUUUGAAUCGACUGCGUGCAAGGCAGUCAUUAAUAGAGUCAGUGUUUGUUCGCAAAGUAUUUUGUAUUUGUUUACAGUCGCACAGACUGUAUUUAUAAUAUAUAGUAGAUUUUCGCGAAGUAAAUUCAGUGAUCGUCCGUUAAUAAAUAACUAUCGCGAAUUAGAGUCAGUGCAUCACUGAAGAGGAUCUCGACCAACUUCGACGUCGACCUACCUCAUUUUCAACCAACUACGAAUCAUCCACCCUCAAUUUCGACCUAAAUCGCGGUCCAGUGUUUUGGAGCCAUCGUAGAACUUCUUAAGUAGUAAGUUAAUUUUUAAAUCCCUCCGAUUACUCAAUCAUGUCGAGGACGAAAGGUCCGAAUCGGCACGAGUAAUUGGUUGUAAUUAUUUCAUUCAAUUAUUGACGAGCAUGACCGCGAGUAACUCCUUCUUUGGAUUUACUCGCGAGUGGUAUAUAUUUUCCAUUGUGCAUAUUUCUUUUUAUUAGUUCAGGAUAGGGUCUUCUUGCAUCAUUCGAGUAAUUUAAUUACAAGUGCAAUUAAUUAGCACUUUUUUCGUACGUAUUUGUUCGCGAUAUUAGUCACGAAAUCGGACAUUCAUUUGUCCGAUUUCUUUGAAAAAAAAGCAUGUGACAUGAUUUACAUGCAUUGCUUCGUACAUAGUUUAUUCAAUCGCAAUCUACUUAGAUAUAUCGUUAUGAAUUUAUUAACAAAUAUGCAAGAAGACAAUCGCGACGGAUAGAUUCUGAAAAACAAGCGAUAGAUUAUGAUCUUGUUCAUUGAUUAGAAUAAUCGCUUGUUGGGAGGAAUCGUCCGAGGAUUUUUUAAUUAUUAUUACAUAUAAAUUUCAUAAAUAUUACAUUAAUUUUGUUGAUGAAUACAAAGUCUCAGUAGAGUCAUUGUUUUUGAAAGGAAAAAUAAAGUCGAGUAGAGUAAUUGCUGAAAAAACAAAGAGACUUAUAGAAUCAUAGACCGUAGGCCCUAGAUAAUAAGUUAAUCAAUUUUUAGAUCAGGAUUUUCAGCUUCUAAUAUACUAAUUCCCGUUUCUCCUCCCCAUUUUUCUGCGUUUUCAUCUAUGCGUGUGCCCCAGGUGUUACUCGUAUAGGUGAAAAACAGUUAAUAUGGGUUUAGUUUUAAGUUUUUCCCCAUUCGGCGGCUGUCAUAGUGUUAGUGAUUGUGCCCAAUGUACGAUUUCACCUGUGUGUGCGUGUUAGGUGGUGAAUCGUAUGUUGGUUCGCGAUAACUUUUAAAU